rnacentral:rRNA from 1 species
AGAGUUUGAUUAUGGCGUCAGGAAUGAACGCUGGCGGCGUGCCUAACACAUGCAAGUCGAACGAAGGCACGUUAAACAGAAUCCUUCGGGUGAUGUAUUGUGACUGAGUGGCGGACGGGUGAGUAACGCGUGGGUAACCUGCCCUGUACAGGGGGAUAACAGUUAGAAAUGACUGCUAAUACCGCAUAAGCGCACGAUGGUAGCAUUACCAGGUGUGAAAAACUCCGGUGGUACAGGAUGGGCCCGCGUCUGAUUAGCUUGUUGCGGGUAAGAGCCCACCAAGGCGACGAUCAGUAGCCGGUCUGAGAGGAUGAACGGCCACAUUGGAACUGAGACACGGUCCAAACUCCUACGGGAGGCAGCAGUGGGGAAUAUUGCACAAUGGGGGAACCCUGAUGCAGCCAACGCCGCGUGAGUGAAGAAGUAUUUCGGUAUGUAAAGCUCUAUCAGCAGGGAAGAUAAUGACGGUACCUGACUAAGAAGCUCCGGCUAAAUACGUGCCAGCCGCUGC